GUAACUUCUGACCUUUUGGCUAAGAUCAAGUGUAAUUAUCUGUUCUUAUCAGUUUAAUAUCAAUCGUCCUCUACCCGAGGACUAAUAUAAUAAUCUGAUUUUGGAACAUAGGGGAGGCGGAGGGCUUGCUCCAAAUCCGCUCCACCUUGUCGACCAGUGUGCAGUGACUCAGGAGCAGUGCACAUCCA